GGGCCCUCUAACCCGGAACUGACGGCCGCCGCAGCCGGCGCGGCCAAUUGGCGUCCCGGAAGGAGCGAGCUGCGGCGUCUGAGCAAGCGAGUGAGUGAAAGCGGCGCCGCCCGCCGGCCGCGGGCGCGGCUGGUGCCGGGCGUUCCCCUGCCUUUUGGUCUUGGGUUUCCCCAAAGAAGGCGGCGAGGGGCGUGUAGCCCAGCCACGUAUCCUUGCAGUCAGUUCCCCAAGUAGGGCCUCCUGUCCCCUGCCGCCCGCGCCACUCGUUGGGUUGGGCGCGCCAUCCCCACACCGCAGCCCGUGUAGCUUUCUCAUCUAGGUCCCUGGCCCCUGCCCUGUCGCCCCGCCGCCGGAGCGGUCACCGCCCGUUCCACCGUUCCUCCGCUGCCACCGCUGCCGGCAACCAUGGGCAGUGAGCAGAGCUCCGAGGCCGAGAGCCGACCCAACGAUCUGAACUCCUCAGUGGCCCCUUCUCCAGCUAAGCAUAGAGCCAAGAUGGAUGAUAUUGUGGUUGUAGCUCAGGGCUCCCAGGCCUCACGGAAUGUCAGCAAUGAUCCUGAUGUCAUCAAGUUGCAAGAGAUUCCAACCUUCCAGCCACUUUUGAAAGGGCUACUGAGUGGCCAGACAUCCCCAACAACACCAAAUUGGAGAAAUUGGAUUCUCAGCAGGUGCUGCAGCUCUGCCUCCGCUACCAGGAUCACCUCCAUCAGUGUGCAGAGGCCGUGGCCUUUGACCAGAACGCUUUGGUUAAGCGAAUCAAAGAGAUGGAUCUGUCUGUAGAAACCCUCUUCAGCUUCAUGCAGAGCGCCAGAAAAGAUACGCCAAAUACGCAGAGCAGAUCCAGAAGGUCAACGAAAUGUCGGCUAUCCUACGCCGCAUCCAGAUGGGUAUCGACCAGACGGUGCCGCUGCUGGAGCGGCUCAACAGCCUGCUGCCCGAGGCCGAGCGCCUGGAGCCCUUCAGCAUGAAGCCUGAGCGGGAACUCAGGCUCUAGCCACUUCACCCCACCAGCUGUGGGCGUAGAUCAGCAUCGCCAGGGCCCUGGGACGAUUGGAACCACAGUCAUGGGAGGUGACCGAAGGCCACUGGAGGCGUUGACACUCCUGAGGGCAGGGGAAGCGGUCCAGCCCCGCUGGAGACCCGUGAGGCCCAGCCCUUCCCUCCUGCACUUUCCCUGCAAAGCCAACAAACCAACUCUCAGUGGUCACCGAAGGUGGAACGUCUGAACUGUUAGGAAUUCUUUACAGAACUUUGCCUCGGGAAUUAUUUUUAUUUUGUUUAGUUGCAUUUUUUUUUUUAAUUGACAGUGUCUAUUACCUAGUCUUAGCUUGCAGAGUGAAAAUGUCAAGGGUAAAAAUAUUUUAAGAAGCUCUGUGUUUUUGAUGCCUUGGUGCCAUUUCUCUCAGUAGGCUGUCUGGGUUGUAAACAUAAAGAAUGAAUUUAAUCCA